GAAAACAAUUCUGACACAGAGCAAGAGAAGCCUGGCUCAGGAGGUGCCAUCACUGCAGUCUGAGAAGGUUUCAGUGAGCUGGAGGAGGUCUCUGAACAGACACGUACCAAGUGAAAUGAAGUGAUUUGUGUCCCAGAGGAGUCUGCACUGAUUCACAACACGAUACCUGCAUGUUUGGAGAGGUUGUUUUGACUUUCUUCCAUGGUUCCUCACCAAAUUCAUGACAGGGUGGCUGGGAGGUGAACUCAGCCCUUUGCUUUCUACAUCUUGAAAAGGUGAACAAAUUAUUAUUACCUUGGAAAGGUAAAUAAAUCUUUUG
rnacentral:lncRNA from 1 species